GACACUAUAGCCAAGUGGUUAAGGCGACAGAUUAGAACCGCACGGUGCGAAUAAUCUGUUUCCCUCUGGGAGCGUAGGUUCGAACCCUACUGGUGUCG